GUGCGUGGCGUGUCCGCUGGACCAGGGGACGGGGGCGCGCCGCAGGUGUAGGAGCUUUGCGCGCCUACCUGGCGGUCGUGGGUCGAGGAGGGGUCAAGAAUUGUUGUCUAGCAGCCCUCUCCCCGCUGCCCUGUCCUGGCCGAGGCAAAGGCCGCGUGCGCUCCGCGUCUGCCAGGCUUUAGGGCUGCGCGGACACUGGGUGGGUGGUGGGCCGAGGCGACCGGAAGGUCCUGGCCGCCUUUCCGGUCUCCUCAGCACCCUGGAGCGCCGCCCUCGGGUUUCGGUCUCCUGGAUCUGCGGGUCGGUCUCGGCGGGCGGAUUACUCCUCGCCCACAACCUCGAGGCCCCGGGGUCAACCGCGCCCUCCGGGCCGGCAACCCAGGGUUUAGUCAGAUUCCUCCUGACCCACCGCUUCUGGGAAAGAGGCGCCUCCCGUCAGGAGGAUGCUGAGUUCCUCAUGACUGGACCAGUGAGUGUCCACUCCCUGGUCCCUGGCGAGAGAGGCGGGACCCCCACGCCCUCCUGGCGCUCUUUGCAGAGAUGUUCCUCAGGCCCAAUCCGGGAUUUGGGAUGUCUGUGCGUGCUGUGGAGCAGAGAGUUUGCAACAUGGUCUCACUUUGUCACCCAGGCUGGAAUGCAUUGGCAUGAACACGUCUCACUGCAGCCUCAACCUCCCAGGCUGAAGUGACCCUCCAACUCUGCUUUCACAGUAGCUGUGAUAUGGUUUGGCUGUGUCCCCACCCACAUCUCAUCUUAAAACCCAGUGGGAGGUCCAGAGGCCUAGGAGGAAAAAGUGGUUUUGUGGGCAGCACCCAGGGUCCCCAUGCUAUGUGCAGCCUAGGGACUUGGUGCCGUGCGUCUCAGCUCCUCCAGUGGUGACUGAAAGGGGCCAACAUAGAGCUCGGGCUGCUGCUUCAUGGGGUGGAAGUCCCAAAUCUUGGCAGCUUCCAUGUGGUGUUGAGCCUGCGAGUACAUAGAAGUCAAGAAUUGGGGUUUGGGAACCUCCAUCUAGAUUUCAGAAGAUAUAUGGAAAUUCCUGGAUGCCCAGGCAGAAGUUUGCUGUAGGGGUGGGGCCUUCAUGGAGAACCUCUGCUAGAGCAGUGCAGAAGGGAAAUGUGGGGUCGGAGCCCCCACACAGAGUCCCCGCUGCGGCCCUGCCUGAUGGAGCUGUGAGAAGUGGACCACCGUUCUCCAGACCCCAGAAUGGUAGAUCCACCGACAGCUUGCACCGUGUGCCUGGAAAAGCUGCAGACACUCAAUGCCAGCCUAUGAAAGCAGCCUGGAGGGAGGCUUUACCCUGCAAAGCCACAGAAGUGGAGCUGCCCAAGACCAUGGGAAUCCACCUCUUGCAUCAGUGUGACCUGGAUGUGAGACAUGGAGUCAAAGGAUAUCAUUUUGAAGCUUUAAGAUUUGACUGCCCUGCUGGAUUUCAGACUUGCAUGGGUCCUGUAGCCCCUUUGUUUUGGCCAAUUUCUCCCAUUUGGAAUGGCUAUAUUUACCCAAUGCUUAUACCACCAUUCUAUCUAGGAAGUAAAUAACUUGCUUUUGAUUUUACAGGCUCAUAGGCAGAAGGGAUUUGCCUUGUCUCAGAUGAGACUUUGGACUGCGGACUUUUGAGUUAAUGCUGAAAUGAGUUAAGACUUCGGAGGACUAUUGGGAAGGCAUGAUUGGUUUUGAAAUGUGAGGACAUGAGAUUUGGGAGGGGCCAGGGGUGGAAGGAUACGGUUGGGUUCUGUGUCCCCACCCAAGUCUUAUCUUGUAGCUCCCAUAACCCAUGUGUCUUGGGAGGGACCUGGUAAUUCAAUCAUGUGGGCUGGAUGCGGUUGCUCAUGCCUGUAAUCCCAGCACUUUGGGAGGCCAAGGGGGAGAUCACUUGCGAUCAGGAGUUUGAGACCAGCCUGGCCAACAUGGUGAAACCCCAUCUAUACUAAAAAUACAAAAAUUAGCCAGGCACGGUGGUGGGCACCUGUAAUCUCAGCCUCCCGUGUAGCAGGCAUUGUCACAGGCGCCUGCCACCACACCCACCUAAUUUUUUUGUAUUUUUAGUAGAGACGGGGUUUCACCGUGUUAGCCAGGGUGGUAUCGAUCUCCUGACCUUGUGAUCCGCCCACCUUGGGCUCCCAAAGUGUUGAGAUUACAGGCGUAAGCCACUGCACCCGGCAAUAAACCUCUUUCUUUUGUAAAUUGCCCAGGUAUGUCUUUAUCAGCAGCAUGAAAAUGGACUCAUACAAUGAUCCAUUACCUAGGGUAAAAUUCUCCUGAAUGUCAAACAGAGAUAAACUACAUUUGGGUUUUGGGUAAGUCCCCUGUAAUGAUGAAUCAAGAAUCCUCAAGUCUGUCUUGCCACCCAUUUAAUACGUAUUUUUGUUAAGGCUGAAGUUUAGAGUUAGAAUCAGGACAUUUUGGCCUAUUGAGAGGUUCUGAAUUCCAACAGAAGAUGCCAUGUAAAUCAGUGAAUUUGAUUCUUUUAAAAGCAACUUACAAAAUUUACAAGAUGUAUUCAAUAAAGCAGUUUAGCUUUGGUAUAUCAAACCUUAUAAUGAACCAUUUUUCCCACUUCAUCUUAUGCAAUGUUUAAUAUUUUCUAUUUUUGUCAAGGAUAUUAAACCUACACCUGGAAACAUAUUAAAUGCCAACUUAAAAUGUGAGAAGUUUGGCAGAACUCAGACCCAUUCUUCCAAUUUCCAAGCUGUUUAAUCACACUGAUUCAGACACUCUGGAUAGCAGCUGGGAUUGUAGUUAUCUUUAUGCUUUGAGCUCUCUAGUUUUGUCUACACAUCUUAUAAAAUAUCCCCUCCUCAUUCUCCUCUAGCUGGAACACUAACCCAAUGGAUGUUGUGGUGAACUUUCUUUGACCAGGCAGAGAAGUGCAGCAUUGGGUGGACCAUGCACAACCAGUUUGAGAAGCACUGCUCUAGGGGUUGGGGGAGCAACAAUAGAAAGAGUGUAGGUUCUGAAUACCUGAAGCAUACAUUUUAGCUCUAGACUGCUUAUAUUGUUGUUACAUGAAAGAGAACUUUUAAUCUGGUUUAAACCACUGGAUCUCUUUAUUCCAGCAAGUGAAUCUAUAUCCAACUAAUAUUUACUCCCAGUCUGUUCUUUCUCACCCCUCUUUCCCUUACUAUAAACCUUUUCUAUAUCAAUUUAUAUCAUUAGUUGCUCAGCCCACAAACCAGAUGUCACUUUUGUUUUCUCUUUUCCUUCCCAUUCAUAGCCAGGCCAUCGUUGUGACUUAUUGGCUGUACCUCCAAAAUAUAUCCCAGAUCUGAUCUCUUCUUAUAAUUUGUACUGCUACAACCUUAGUCAAAGCCACUAAUAUCUCUUAUCUGAACUCCAGUGGUUUACUAGUUUUCUGCCUCUCUUCUUGACACAAUUCAUCUUUCUACAUAGCAGCCAGAGUAAGAUAAAAUCAUAAAUCAGAUCAUAUAACUUCUACCCCCUGUACCAAUGGCUAUCUUUUAUACUCAGAAUAAAAUCCAAAACCUUUAUUUGGCUUCCAAGAUCCUACAAGAUAGAGACCUUACUUCUCAUCUUGUACCCAUCAUUUGAUCUUCAGUCCCUUGAAAAUGCCAAGUCUAUUUCCAUUUCAGGGCCUUUGUGCUUGUUACUAUUGUUUCUUUUCUCUUGGAAAACUGCCCAGAUCUUUCCUUAGCUGAAUUAUUCAGAUCCCAACUCAAAUAUCAUCUCUUUAGAAAAUUCUUUCAGAACCAGGUGUGGUGGUGCACACCUGUAAUCUCAGCUACUCGAGUGGCUGAGGCUGAUGGAUUUCUUGAGCCCAGAAGUCUGAGGCCAGCCUGGGCAAUAUAGCAAGAUCCUGUCAAAAAGAAAAAGGUAUCUCACCAUGAUUAUAUUUUAAUUUCCCUUCAGCAAUUAGAAGUCCCUGAAAUUAAUUUACCUUAUUUGUUGGCAACCUCUGCCUCCUGGGUUCAAGCGAUUCUCCUGCCUCAGCCUCCUGAGUAGCUGGGAUUACAGGCGUGCACCACCACGCCUGGCUAAAUUUUGUAUUUUUAGUAGAGAUGGGGUUUUGCCGUGUUGGUCAGGCUGGUCUCGAACUCCUGACCUCUGAUCUGCCCACCUCGGCCUUCCAGAGUGCUGGGAUUACAGGCAUGAGCCACCAUGGGCCCACAAAGCUAUUUUACUUAGCAUUUUUUUUCCCGAGGCUAAAUUGGGAACUACUGACAAUACUAUUGACAAUACUAAAUAUAUUUUUAAAUUAUUUUACUUAUUUUUGAGACAGGGUCUCACUGUGUCACCCACGCUGUAGUGCAGUGAACCAUCACCACUCACUGCAGUCUCACCCUUCCUGAACUCAGGUGAUCCUCCCACCUCAGCCUCCUGAGUAGCUGGGACUACAGGCAUGCACCACCAUGCCUGGCUAAUUUUUAAAAUUUUUUGUAGAGAUGGAGUUUCGCCAUGUUGCCCAGGCUGGUCUCAAACUUCUGGGUUCAAGUGAUGCAAGUGUCUCAGCCUCCUAAAGUGCUAGGAUUACAGGCGUAAGCCACUAUGCCCAGCCUUUUAUUUUAUUUUAUUUUAUUUAUUUAUUUUUUGAGACAGAGUCUUGUUCUGUUGCCCAGGCUAGAGUGCAGUGGUGCAAUCUCAGCUCACUGCAACCUCUGCCUCCCAGGUUCAAGCGAUUAUCAUGUCUCAGCCUCCCUAGUAGCUGGGAUUACAAGUGUGCACCACACGCGGCUAAUUUUUGUAUUUUUUGUAGAGGCAGAGAGGCAGGGUUUUAUUAUGUUGGCCAAGCUGGUCUUGAACUCCUGGCCUCAAGUGAUCUGCUCACCCCGGCCUCCCAAAGUGCUGAGAUUACAGGUGUGAGCCACCAUGCCCACCAACCUAUUUUUUAUUUUAAAAAAUUGACAGCAUACUAAAUGUUUGUAAUGCAAAUGAUAAAAUUGCUACAAUGAAAACAAGAAGUUGAGAAUUAGAUGAAGAGUUGAUUAAGGGAACUAUGAGUCACUGUGUUAGAGCAUGUAUAUUAUGAAAAUUAUAGCAGAAGUGAUAAAGGGUGACAAUUGUUACCUAUCUUCAAUCAAAAGCUCUUUGAAUAUCUUUCUUUUUUUUAAUUUUAUGAAUUUUUUUUACAGAGACAGGGUCUCACUAUAUUGCCCAGGUUGGUCUCGAACUCCUGGGCUCAAGGGAUCCUCUUGCCUUGGCCUCACAAAGUACCUGGAUUACAGGCAUGAGCCACAGUGCCUGGCCCUCUUUGAAUAUCUUUAAUGCUUUUAGAGAUUAGCAUCAGAGAAUUAUUAAUACUAGAGGGCACAAGGAAUUAGCCAUUGCCAGUGGACACCUACAUAGGUGUGACUAUGUGACUCAGUUUUAAAAAUGUGACACAAUGAAAAAAUUCCUUGGAUGUUAUGGAGGACGAAAAUUUUGUAAGUCCUAUCCAUUCUUUAAUGGAGAAACUAAAAUUUACAAUAUUACUUUAUUUAGCCCAAGAUUUUCUUAAGCUUUGUAUUUUCUAAUUCAGCUUUGGCUUACAGAAUCAUGCUUGAAGUUUGAGACUGCCAGCUUUCAACAGGCAGUUACUAGUGAAACUCUUUGGAAAGAUGAGAAGAUGUUGACAUAAGUGUAAUGUGAGACAAAGCAAAGUAAAAUGUAAUUUUUAAGAAAAUGUUGCCGGGUGUGAUGGUGGCUCAUGUUGCUGUUGGUUGCUAUGGGAGUGAACGAAGGGGGACGAAUGCAGAAAUGAAGACAAAGACAAAAAGAGUAUUUUUGGAAGAAGGGGUCAGGGGACUCCUUGCUUCUAGUGGGCAAGGGCCCUGAGCUUCUACAGCCCUUCAUAUUUAUUAGGUAGAAAGAGCAGGGAGGGAGAGGUAACAGUUGGUCAGCUGCUUGAUUUAUCACAGGUACACAUAAUUGCUUCCUUUGUACAACAGGCUUCAGAUGUUACUAUAGAUAAUCACAAGGAACACUGCGCUUGGGGCAUGACUGCCCUCAGCAACCCUUCUGGCGGCAGACACAGUUGUUAGUUUUCCAACAUCCUGCUUUCAUGAGAACAGUUUUCUGUUUGCUCAUAUAGCCUUCAGUGGUAUACUGAGUUGGUCACGACCUUCAUUCUUUCGGCCUGUAACAUCUCCCCAUUUUUGUUUUUGCAUUAAUUGAAUAAAGGUAAUUGCAGGUUGUGCAGCUCUCAAUUGCCGUUUGGUGGUCCAGCUGAUUUUGCAGACUGUUAACAAAAAACAAAAAUAUAAUAACAUUAAUCCCAUAGUUACAAAAAAGACAUUGAGAUGCUAUUUGAAGUAGGUCCCAGGGUUAAGGCUGUCUAAACCUUGCUGGAAUUCUGCCCAAGCUUUUAAAGAGGGCUGAAACGCUUGAGUCUGCUUAUUCAAGUUAAGGAUUUUACUUUGUAAAUCAUUAAUAUCAAAAGUAACAUUGAAUGUGAAAGCUCCCUGUAAAUGGGCUUUUACAAGGCUCAAUGGAUAUUCACUUUGGUUAUAUACCAAAUUGGUCACACAAAUAUGAGUAUGAUUAAAAUGACAACGCAUUGCUGCUGCAACUGCAAACUUUGUACUUGUUCCCCUAGCCAUAGAACAGUAGUCUUUAACAUUGCCACCUCUGUUUGUAUUUCGGUGUUAAUUUUAUUUUGAAGCAUCCAUGCCUGGUCGACUGUGCAUGUCCAGUUUUCCACAUAUUGAGCUGUUUGAAUGGAGCUGUGCGUUGCUGCUGAGGACAACACAACAGAGGUUAUUAAUGUAACUAAGGAGACUAUAACAAAAAUUAUCAUGCCUAAGGCUCUAUGAGCACGAUGAGUAAGCGGAGUAAAAAGGAGUUUCAUAAGAUGUAAAGCGGGGGUGGCUGCCCAAGGCUAAGAUAAAUUUACAGGAAUUCAUAAUCCAGGAACAUGACCUAGAAUUGUUAGGGUGGAUAUGUCAUGUGUUUGUAUUGUGCUAUGAUUAAGGCAAUGAUACAGUUGACAGGAAUCACAAGUCAAUUGGGCAUCAUCUACCUGGAGGUGGGUUUUUUUUGCUGCUAAGAAAAUAUAAGGAUUAAAAACAAAUUGUAAAUUGAGUGGUAAUAUUUUCUACAAGGGUAACAUUAAAACUGUGUUUAGCACAAUUACUAUUAUUGGAUAGUGUCCCAAUCCAAAUGCUGCCAUUCAUAAAUGGGAGUGCUGCUUUCCAUAUUGACUCCUGAAUUGGACCUCUCUUUCCUUGAUAAUGCCAUUGAGGCAAAGGUGAGCUAAAGCAUGUGCUGUGUCAAGCAAUUUGGGCAGCAGAUUGAGAUUGAAUUGCAAUGUGAUGUAGUGGGAGAUGUUAAAGUUUUGCCACCAGUUCCAGCAAAGUUAAUGCCAUGAGGUCUGAUGCUCAUGUCUCCCAACCAAAUGACCAUGGGGACCCCAGUAAAUAAUGUCUCCCAUUAGCAUGGACUGUUGUCUAGCUAGGGAGCUAAGACACGGGGUCCAAGGAGGGGGGUUAGAAUUAUCAAAGGGAGCCCAUUCUAUAUAAUUAAUACAAUUUGGGUGAUGGGGCCGGGAGUGAUUAGUAACUACACCAGUAAUAUUAGUAGAACUAAGGCCCAAUAGGUACGUAAAUUUUCCAUGGUAACUCAACCAUGCCUGGGAUUGAAUUGCAAGGCAACUGCAGUUGAGCAGUGUAUCCUGGGUGAUGCAUAAAGAAAGGCCCUCCAAUGGAGUGGUAUAAUUGAUACCAUUGUUCUGAGAGUCUAAUUGCUCUGUGUCAGGGGGAGUUAAGGGUCCCGGUGCCCAUGCUCCUUGAUCAUGAUAUAUCUCAGGAGGAGUGUCACCCCGGUCAUACUACCGGGGGGUUAGGAACAUAAGCCCAAUAUGUUUUUGCCUCUGCACAGGGAAAACAUAGCACACAGGAUAUCAUAGCUAGCAUGGCCAUAAACAUGGAGUCAGGGGUUUUUGCCUGACCCUGAUGCUCCAGCAGUUUCUCAUCUUCUUGUGUGGUUUUCUUGAUCUGUAAAACACAAGCAUACCCUCAUCCCCAUGUCAGUAAAUCUACCAGGCCUUUCCAUUGUCCUUCUUCCAGGGAUUUCCAUAAUACUUUUGGGUAAACUUUCCUUUUUCCCUCUAACAUUUGCCAGUGUCAUUCUACCGGAGUCUUAUUAUCUGUACCAGGAGUUAAAAAAUUUAAAGUAAAUAAUGCUAAAUGUAGUAUUGUUUGAGGUGGUAACUGGUCUCCUAUACCUCCUUUUUGUUUUUUCAGCGCAUGUUGUAAUGUUUGAUGUGCCUGCUCUAUAAUUCCUUGUCCUCGAGGGUUAUAAGGAAUUCUUGUUUUGUGAGUGACUGCCUAUAACUGUAAACAAUUUUGAAAAGCAUGACUAACUUAAGCAGGUCCAUUGUCAGUUUUUAAUUGUUUAGGGACCCUCAUAUCGGCAAAUGACAACAGACAAUGUCAUUGGACAUGGCCAGCUGUUUCACCUGUUUGACAUGUAGCAUGCAGCAUAUGAGAAUAAGUGUCUAUAGUCAUAUGAACAUAGCUAAGUUUGUCAAAGGCUGCUAUAUGUGUAACAUCAAUUUGCCAGAUUUCAUUUGGAGCUAAGCCUCGUGGGUUACAUCCUUCUACCGGUAUAACACCAGGGACAUGCUGACAAGUGGGGCAGGCUUGCACAAUAGCUCGAGCCUGGCUUCGAGGCAGAUGAAACAUACAAGUAAGGGCAGAGGUGUUUUGAUGCAGUAAUGCAUGAGAGGCUUCAGCUUGCUGAAACACAGAACCAAUCAAUUUAUCUGCUCUAUCAUUACCUAGAGGUAGUGGUCCAGGAAGUUGUGUGUCAGAGCGAAUAUGAGAAAUUUGAAAAGGAGCAGCAUGAGAGCAAACAGCUCGCUGAAGUCUUAGAAACAAGUUAAACAGCUCUGGUUCUAGGGUGCUUUUAAUAGUAGCAGUCUCAAUGCGACUGGCUACAUUUACAACAUAGGCUAAAUCACAGACAAUAUUAAUAGGAGAGGAAGCAGUGAGCUGUAAAACCUGAAUAACUGCCAUUAAUUCUGAGCAUUGAGCUGAAACACCAGGGAUUUUUAUUGUUUUAAUAUGCUUAGGUCCAUAAAUAGAUGCUCAGACUUUGGAAGAGCCGUCAGUGAAAUAAGUCUGGCCACCUGGAAUAGGCUUGUGAUGAGUAAUCACAGGGAGGAUAAAAGGGUAAACUUUAUAAAAUUGCAAAACUUUGUCUGAUGGAUAAUGAUUAUCUAUUAUUCCUUUGCUUCAGCCAACAUCGUAGAGCGAUGAAGCUCAGUUCCCACAUCCUGACAAGCUUUGAUAAAAUUUCCUAAGCUUUUUAUACAUCUCACAGAUGCCAAUGCAUGUUUACAGUCCGUGUUUGCAUUCUCAAAAGCUAGUUAAGGUUAGCAUUUCUGUAGCCAUGGUAAGAGAAAUCUGACACUUCACUGCCUAUGGUAAUCUUGCAAGAAAAUGUGCAUAGAGCUCCUGUGACCCUUUCAUGAUAUGUAAGAGAUUGUACUGGGACCCUUUCCUCUGGAAUUGUGGCCCAGGUGCGUUUAACAGCCAAGGCACACUGCUUACAAGCAGCGUCUGGGAGUGCUAUUUGAUGUUCUAGGUCUGAAUAGGGGCCACUGCCUAACAGCAUCCUCUGUAAUGUCUCUGUGUCCAGCAGCACGAUUCUAUCUAGCCUGGUCUGCACACAGUUCUUGCCAAUUUAAAUACCAUAUCAGGUAUGCACUAGCAGACAAACAAGUGCAAGCCAAAUGCUUUACAUCAAAGGGUGGAAGGCGCAUAGCGCCAAAUAGAUUCUAGCAGUCCUAAAGUAAAUGGGCUUUGUAUUCCAUUAUUAACUACACUAGCUUUUAAUUCCUUCAGCAACUUAAAUUCUAGUGGGGUGUGUUCAUGAAUAAACUGCUGUGGAUUAUGUGGAUCAGGCCUUACGGAAAUAGGAAAAGCUCAAGGUCCUAAGGGUUCUCCAGCCAUAGCAGUAGAGUGUAAAGUUCUUUGUAUUGGGGUCUCUAUUUCUGCUACUGAAGGAGGCGGUUCAGAUGUUUCUGCUACUAGAGGGGGUGACACAGGCCAAUUUUCAUCCUCCUGCUCCUGUUUAUUAUUUUUAAUUGGCGCUGUUGAGAGAACAGAAAGAUUCUUUCAAAUUUUUUGACUCUGAACAUGACUCCUGCUGUCUAGCAGAAUAAGAAAUGAAUAAUGGCAGGAUGAACUAAACUCCAAAUAUAAAAAAGAAAAUAGCCAAAUUCUUCCCCCAUGUUACCCUGAUUCAGAAACUUCCCGUUCCCAGUACCUCUUUAGGGCACUGACCUUAUAUUAGCUGUCAGCAGACUCGUCGCAGGGUUUCUCAUUCUCGUUCUUCUUGUCAGUGUCAGUUUCUCUGCUCCAGCAGACCUUCACUCACGUCCCUGUCCUAGGUGCCAGUUGUCGCUGUUGGUUGUUAUGGGAGUGAACGAAGGGGGAUGAAUGCAGAAACGAAGACAAAGACAAAAAGUAUUUUUGGAAGAAGGGGUCAGGGGGCUCCUUCUAGUGAGCAAGGGCCCUGAGCUUCUACAGCCCUUCGUAUUUAUUAGGUAGAAAGAGCAGGGAGGGAGAGGUAGCAGUUGGUCAGUUGCUUGAUUUAUCACAGGUAUACAUAAUUGCUUUCUUUGUACAACAGGCUUCAGAUGUUCCUAUAGAUAAUCACAAGGAACACUGUGCUUGGGGUGUGACUGCCCUCAGCAACCCUUCUGGCAGCAGACACAGUUGUUAGUUUUCCAACAUCCUGCUUUCAUGAGAACAGUUUUCUAUUUGCUCAUAUAGCCUCCAGUGGUAUACUGAGUUGGUCACGACCCUCAUUCUUUCGGCCUGUAACAGGCUCAUGCCUGUAAUGCCAGCACUUUUGGAGGCCGAGGCAAGAGGAUAGCUUGAGCUCAGGAGUUGGAGACCAGCCUGGGCAACACGGUGAAACCCCAUCUCUGCAAAAAUUAGCCUGGUGUGGUGGGGUGCGCCUGUAGUCUCAGCUGCUUGUGGGGCUGAGGCGGGAGAAUAGCUUGAGCUCCAGGGGUCGAGGCUGCAGUGAGCCAUAAUGGUGCUGCUGCAUUCCAGCCUGGGUGACAAAGUGAGACUAUCUCAAAAAAAAAAACGGCUGUUAGAUAAAAAUGAAGACAAACAACAUUUGCAAGGAUAUAAAUCUUAACCCAUUUAUUGGGGGUAUAGGCUCUGGUGUCAGAUUUCCAUCUGUCCUGUAUUUUGUAACCACAAAAUUGUCCUGGCUGGAUUAAUUGUAAGGAAGUCCCUUUAAACACAUCUAGACUUCCAAAGUUUGUUUACAUACUAAUUAGUUGUCAUGAAAAGCUGCAUUCAACCCAGGGUCUGAGAUGCCUUUUGUAUAUGAAAAGUGCUUCUCUUUCUGACACUGACUGAAUUACAUACAUAACAGAUUCAUUUAUUUAAAAACAAUUUAAGAGGCUUUUUCUAUAAUGCUGAACCUGCUGUGUGGUAUUUAUGUUUAAUUCUGGUCAAAUUUUCAAAACUAAUAAACACUGCAAUUCAAAACCAUUAAUUAUCAAGCAUAGACCAAGUAUCUGAGGUUAUGAGCACAUAUUUAAGAGGUUAGACUCUGGCAUUCCAGACAUUGCAAAUAAUACUUUUCUCAUUUCUAAAUUUCCUAGAAACAAGUGGAGAUUUGUAAAAGGAAAUAAUACUCUUUAAAACAUUUAUUUUUGACUCAGGAUCUGGCUCUGUUGCCCUAGCUAGAGUGCAGUGGUGCCAUCAUCACAGCUCACACAAUAGCCUGGAACUACUGGGCUCAAACCAUCCUCCCACCUCAGCCUCCCAAGUAGCUGGGACUGCAGAUGCAGGCCAUCAUGUCCCGCUAAGUUUUAUUUUAUUUUUGUAGAGACAGAGUCUAUGUUGCUCAGGCUGGUCCUGAACUCCCGGCAUCAAGUGAUCCUCCCACCUCCCAAUAAAACAUGUACUGAUGGCCAGGCACUUGGCUCACGCCUGUAAUCCCAGCACUUUGGGAGGCCGAGGCGGGCAGAUCAUGAGGUCAAGAGAUCAAGACCAUUCUGGCCAACAUGGUGAAACCCUGUCUCUACUAAAAAUACAAAAAUUAGCCAGGUGUGGUGGCACGCGCCGGUAGUCUCAGCUACUCCGGAGGCCGAGGCAGGAUAAUUGCUUGAACCCCAGAGGCGGAGGUUGCAGUGAGCCGAGAUCGUGCCACUGCACUCCAGCCUGGCGACAGAGCAAGACUCUGUCUCAAAAAAAAAAAAAAAACCAAAAACCAAAAAAUCAAAACCAAAACCAUGUAUUGAUAUCAAAGUUUUUUUAUCCUGGCAGGGCACAGUGGCUCACGCCUGUAAUCCCAGCACUUUGGGAGGCUGAGGCAGGUGGAUCACGAGGUCAGGAGUUCAAGACCAGCCUGGCCAAGAUGGUGAAGACCCGUCUCUACUAAAAAUACAAAAAUUAGCCAGGCGCAGUGGCAGGCGCCUGUAAUCCCAGCUACUCGGGAGGCUGAGGCAGGAGAAUCGUUUGAAACCAGGAGGGUAGAGGUUGCAGUGAGCCAAGAUUGUGCCACUGUACUCCAGCCUGGGUGACAGAGUGAUACUAUGUCUCAAAAAAAAAAAAAAAAAAAAAAGAAAAAGAAAAAAGAAAGAAAGUUGCUUUAUCUUUAAAACUAUAUAUAUUGUUUUCACCCCUACAUAGUCCUUGCCUCCCAGACAUCUCCUCACUAACGUCAGUAGACAAUUUGGCAUCUGAUGGUUUGAAAUAGUUUCUGUAAUCAAAUCCUGAAUAAAAUCCAUUUUAAAGC
rnacentral:lncRNA from 1 species